GAGGAGUAUUGGUCAAUGGGCGGGAGCCUGAACCAGCCAAGUCGCGUGAAGGAAGAAGGAUCUAUGGUUCGUAAACUUCUUUUGCAGGGGAAUAAAGUGCAGGACGUGUCCUGUUUUGUAUGUACCCUGAGAAUAAGGAUCGGCUAACUCCGUGCCAGCAGGCGCGGUAAUACGGAGGAUCCGAGCGUUAUCCGGAUUUAUUGGGUUUAAAGGGUGCGUAGGUGGUUUGAUAAGUCAGCGGUGAAAGUUUGCAGCUUAACUGUAAAAAUGCCGUUGAAACUGUCGGACUUGAGUGUAAAUGAGGUAGGCGGAAUGCGUGAUGUAGCGGUGAAAUGCAUAGAUAUCACGCAGAACUCCGAUUGCGAAGGCAGCUUACUAAGCUACAACUGACACUGAAGCACGAAAGCGUGGGGAUCAAACA
rnacentral:rRNA from 1 species